AGUGAACGCUGGCGGUAGGCCUAACACAUGCAAGUCGAACGGCAGCACAGGAGAACUUGCUCUCUGGGUGGCGAGUGGCGGACGGGUGAGGAAUACAUCGGAAUCUACUUUUUCGUGGGGGAUAACGUAGGGAAACUUACGCUAAUACCGCAUACGACCUACGGGUGAAAGCAGGGGAUCUUCGGACCUUGCGCGAUUGAAUGAGCCGAUGUCGGAUUAGCUAGUUGGCGGGGUAAAGGCCCACCAAGGCGACGAUCCGUAGCUGGUCUGAGAGGAUGAUCAGCCACACUGGAACUGAGACACGGUCCAGACUCCUACGGGAGGCAGCAGUGGGGAAUAUUGGACAAUGGGCGCAGGCCUGAUCCAGCCAUACCGCGUGGGUGAAGAAGGCCUUCGGGUUGUAAAGCCCUUUUGUUGGGAAAGAAAUCCAGCUGGUUAAUACCCGGUUGGGAUGACGGUACCCAAAGAAUAAGCACCGGCUAACUUCGUGCCAGCAGCCGCCGUAA
rnacentral:rRNA from 1 species